rnacentral:rRNA from 1 species
UACGUAGGGGGCAAGCGUUGUCCGGAUUUAUUGGGCGUAAAGAGCGUGUAGGCGGUUCGGUAGGUCCGUUGUGAAAACUCGAGGCUCAACCUCGAGACGCCGAUGGAAACCCUCGAACUAGAGUCCGGAAGAGGAGAAUGGAAUUCCUGGUGUAGCGGUGAAAUGCGCAGAUAUCAGGAGGAACACCAAUAGCGAAGGCAGCUCGCUGGGACGUUACUGACACUGAGGCGCGAAAGCGUGGGGAGCGAACAGG